rnacentral:tRNA from 2 species
CGGGUAUAAUUUAGUGGUAAAAUGUCAGCUUCCCAAGCUGAAUAUGCGGGUUCGAUUCCCGCUAUCCG